GAUUAUGUCAGCAUGAAUGAAUUUUUCAAUUCUGAUGCAUCGAAUACAACUAAUAGCUGAAAGCGUCAUUUAAGCAAAUGAAAACUCUGGUUAAUAUAAUUAAAACCACGAGCAACCGUGCCGUUUUUGCCGCAAAUGAAUAUCCAAUGCAGCAGAUAAAUAUCCUACAGAAAUUCUGUGCGGAAACAACACCACAAGUCACUGGCUUCUUGCAGCAUAUAUAUAACCAAACUGGCUAGAAGAACCCAGCAAAAAACUUGCUGAAACUCUGAUUAAGAUUAAAAAGGGACGAUUAUGAUAUGUAGCGCUUGCAAUCUUGGGGAACUCACUGAUGGAAUUAUAAAGAAAUGUCCCACUUGAGUGCGUUCCUCAGUGAA